UACGUGAGGGGCAAGCGUUGUCCGGAAUCAUUGGGCGUAAGCGCGUGUAGGCGCCAGAAAAGUCCGCUGUGAAAACCUCGAGGCUCAACUUCGAGCUGUCGGUGGAAACUUUCUGGCUAGAGUCCGGAAGAGGAGAAUGGAAUUCUGGUGUAGCGGUGAAAUGACGCAGAUAUCAGGAAGAACACCCGUGGCGAAGGCGGUUCUCUGGGACGGUACUGA
rnacentral:rRNA from 1 species